GUGCUACGUCACAUCAGCAAAUAAAGUGAUUGACGUCAAAAAAAAUUUAAAAAAAAAUUAAAAACGUUACAAAAUUUUGUAAAGAUUUAAAAAAAAUAAAAUACUUUAAAUAUGAAAUGCGCUGUGAAAAAUUGCAAAAGCACCAACAACUCCAAGGCGUGCGAAAUUAGUUUUUUUAUUUGUAUUAUGUAUUUUAUUUGUAUCGAAAUAUUUUUUAUUUUCCAAAAAUGUCACUUUGUUUAUGUUUUGCUUUUAUUUUUCUCAAGUUCUAGGUUGAUAUGACGUACAUGCGCAGAACGAACAUUUUUUUACAUACUGAAUGCGCAAUCUAUGUUUCUAUAAUUCUUGGAUCUGAAUCAGUUUAUGGAAUUUUAUUCAGAUGAAAAAGGUCCAUCUAAAUACGCUAUUAUUCCGAUGCAGGCAAACAACUUGUUUGCUGGAAAGUCCUUACCAUAAUCAUCAGUAGUACCAACAUAAAAAACAAUUUUGACGCAUAUUUUAAAGAAGAAAGAAUAAUAAAAAGGCUGUAGAGAAUGUGAAUGCCGAGAAGACUAUCGAAAGGAACUCUUUCAACUUUGAUGAUAUUUUGAAGAGAAUCCAAAAAUAAAGUCGUAAAAUUUGUCGCUAAUAAGAGGAAUAUGUACUACAUAAAAAACGUGUUCAUUAUAUGGUAUCCGCCUAUGAACCAAAUACGAAGAAUCGUAUAUCUGGAAAACGUUUAGGGCUAGAACCCUUAAAAACGAACGAACAAAAAUAUAUAGAAAGGAGCACAAAUUAUAUUUACAAAACAACAUAAAAAAG